CCUACGGGGCGCAGCAGUGAGGAAUAUUGGUCAAUGGACGCAAGUCUGAACCAGCCAUGCCGCGUGCAGGAAGACGGCUCUAUGAGUUGUAAACUGCUUUUGUACGAGGGUAAACGCAGAUACGCGUAUCUGUCUGAAAGUAUCGUACGAAUAAGGAUCGGCUAACUCCGUGCCAGCAGCCGCGGUAAUACGGAGGAUUCAAGCGUUAUCCGGAUUUAUUGGGUUUAAAGGGUGCGUAGGCGGUCGGAUAAGUUAGAGGUGAAAUCCCGAGGCUCAACUUCGGAAUUGCCUCUGAUACUGUUCGGCGAGAGAGUAGUUGCGGUAGGCGGAAUGUAUGGUGUAGCGGUGAAAUGCUUAGAGAUCAUACAGAACACCGAUUGCGAAGGCAGCUUACCAAGCUACUUCUGACGUUGAGGCACGAAAGCGUGGGGAGCAAACAGGAUUAGAUACCCGAGUAGUC
rnacentral:rRNA from 1 species